rnacentral:rRNA from 1 species
UUCUUUACGGGAGCCACCAGUACGGAAUGUUUGACAAUGGGGGCAUGCUUGAUCUAGCAACGCCGCGUGGGGGAGGAAGAUCUUCGGGGGGUAGACUCCUUUCGCGCGGGAAGAACAUCUCUCCGCCAAACAGUCGCGGCGGAGUUGCCGGUACCGUCAGAGGAAGCCCCGCCUAAUUCUGUGCCACCACCCGCGGUAAUACAGAGGGGGCAAGCCUUUUUCGGAUUUUUUGGGGGUAAAGGGGUCGUAGGCGGGCUUUCAAUUCGGAGGUGAAAUCCCACGGUUCAACCGUGGAACUGCGUUGGAAACUGCCGGGCUGGAGUCCGGAAGAGGGAAGUGGAAUUCCCGGUGUAGCGGUGAAAUGCGUGGAUUUCGGGAGGAACCCCGGUGGGGAAGGGGGCUUCCUGGCCCAGUACUGACGUUGAGGAGCGAAAGCCAGGGGAGCAACCGGGGAGAGAAACCCCCCUUGU